rnacentral:rRNA from 1 species
AGUGAACGCUGGCGGUAGGCCUAACACAUGCAAGUCGAACGGCAGCACAGUAAGAGCUUGCUCUUACGGGUGGCGGGUGGCGGACGGGUGAGGAAUACAUCGGAAUCUACUUUUUCGUGGGGGAUAACGUAGGGAAACUUACGCUAAUACCGCAUACGACCUACGGGUGAAAGCAGGGGAUCUUCGGACCUUGCGCGAUUGAAUGAGCCGAUGUCGGAUUAGCUAGUUGGCGGGGUAAAGGCCCACCAAGGCGACGAUCCGUAGCUGGUCUGAGAGGAUGAUCGGCCACACUGGAACUGAGACACGGUCCAGACUCCUACGGGAGGCAGCAGUGGGGAAUAUUAGGCAAUGGGCGAAAGCCUGGUCCAGCCAUACCGCGUGUGUGAAGAAGGCCUUCGGGUUGUAAAGCACUGUUGUUGGGAAAGAAAAGCUGUAGGUUAAGACCCCGCUGUUCUGACGGUACCAAAAGAAUAAGCACCGGCUAACUACGUG